UAGGUGUACUGCUAGUGGACGAAAUGAAAAUUUCACAUAGAGUGCGCUUUGAUUCAAAUUUACUAAAAGUGCAUGGCUUUACUGAUCUGGGAAAGUAUGCUCCAGAACUGCAGAAAUCCCAAAAAGACUCCAGAUGGAAUAAUUAAGUUGCAGCAUUGGGAGACACUACAUCACAGAUCACCGACAAUCCAACAGACUUUAGUCUUAAAAUUUGCCCAAAUUUAAAACCUCACCACAUUAAUCCCAAGUAUUAUCAGAAAAUGAAUGUUUCAAUGGCAUUUCAUCAACUCUGUGGGAUCUGCAGUCAGCUCUUCAAGGAUCAACAUCCAGAUCUUGGUGACUGUGAGGCAACUAUAAAGUUUGUCAACAAUGUCGAUAACCUAAUUGAUGCCAUGAAUUCCCGGACCCCCAAAACUGCUAUGAAGAUCAACUCGCCUGCAUAUAAGGCAAGUUUUUUUAUCAGAUACUCUCUUUUCUGUUCUCAAAAUCUUCUCUCAUUUCUGAAAAAUUUUAUACCCUGACUCUGUAGAAUGAUUGUUAUAGUUAAAAUCAAAUACAAUUUUUUUUCCUCAUCUGCACAUUUU